rnacentral:lncRNA from 1 species
AUGUCAGCGUGGGACUGCGUCUCAUUUGCAACAACGCUGGGCUGGUGCAAAAGUCUGCCCAACACCUACGGCACUUGGCCUUUCCACCAGGACGCGAUUCGCAGCUAUGAUGGAACAGCCCUAAUGGAAAGCAAUGAGCUUAAUGCUCCCCAACAGAAGAGAAGCCUCCUUUGCUAAGACCUGCGCAGAAAAAGGAAAUGGAGGUGAGGCAUCCACUCAUUCUGCAGCACCUUGUCCUUUCAUGCAGGACGCCGUGUGGCUCCAGAGACCAGUCUUGGCGCUGACAGGACUUCAUCCCUACUGAAAAGCAAAGGACCAGUCCGUAAUACACCGGCUGGCUGGCUGCGUUUUGCUUGGCACCCUUUUUAUGGGGUACGUGCCAGGAUAGGGAUACUGUAGACUCUGGUGCCUUGUGCUGCUGAGGAGGUAAAAUAAUUAGCAAAGGGCACAGGAUGCAAGCAGAGACGCAGGGCUUCUGUGGCCCCCCCCCCCCAACCCGGUGCCUUUCUGCAAAAAACUAACAGCAAGGGAUUGCUUUUGCCCCUGAAGCCCCACUGCACAGAAAGGUACCUCCAACCCUGCUCCAGCCAGCGGUCUGAACGCUUGCCCUGCUCUGCUCUAGAGUGGUAAGACUUUGCACUCGUCUCAGGCCGGAGAGCUUUGCUCUUAAUGACAAAUCAGCUGAGGUGGGAAAUCAGUUCUCCAGCAGCACGGCACAACGUCUCUCCAACUGGUCCUCUGAGAUUUCACUGCAAAAGCAGCUGAAACCUUAGAGUUCAGAGAGAAUCCCACAGUCCUGAGAGCAUUUAGGAUCAAAGUUAAGAUACGAGAGCUCGAUUUAUCUUGGGCAGAAUCUGUCUUCAAAGCCACAAUCUGUAAUUCAGUAAGACUGGCUCUUUUCUACCACGUAGACUCCACGUGAGCCAUUAGACACAAAAAAGAGAGCUGCCACUUUCACCGCUGAAAGCAGAGUUAUCCAUCUCAAGGCAGACGCAGAUCCGUGUCUGUCCACAGAACCUGCAUCUCACUUAGGAUGGGCUAAAUGUCGCUGAUAUCUGGCCCUAGACCAGACAAGCUCCAAAAAGCAAAACACAUCUGGAAGACGGGAUUUGUUCCACCACUGCUCUUCCUGUUCAAAUGACCCAGCUCCCAUCCAGUGCAUUUUUAGGGAACUGGUCAGAACGACCUCAAGAGUAUGUA